rnacentral:rRNA from 1 species
ACUCCGCUUGAUCCUGGCGGACCCAACUGCUAUCGGGAUGAGACUAAGCCAUGCGAGUCGCACGCUUCCUAGCCACGGUGGGAGCGUGGCG